rnacentral:rRNA from 1 species
CCUACGGGGGGCAGCAGUGAGGAAUAUUGGUCAAUGGACGAGAGUCUGAACCAGCCAAGUAGCGUGAAGGAUGACUGCCCUAUGGGUUGUAAACUUCUUUUAUAUGGGAAUAAAACGUUCCACGUGUGGGAUUUUGUAUGUACCAUAUGAAUAAGGAUCGGCUAACUCCGUGCCAGCAGCCGCGGUAAUACGGAGGAUCCGAGCGUUAUCCGGAUUUAUUGGGUUUAAAGGGAGCGUAGGUGGAUUGUUAAGUCAGUUGUGAAAGUUUGCGGCUCAACCGUAAAAUUGCAGUUGAAACUGGCAGUCUUGAGUAAAGUAGAGGUGGGCGGAAUUCGUGGUGUAGCGGUGAAAUGCUUAGAUAUCACGAAGAACUCCGAUUGCGAAGGCAGUUCACUGGACUGCAACUGACACUGAGGCUCGAAAGUGUGGGUAUCAAACAGGAUUAGAUACCCGAGUAGUC